UACGGAGGGUGCGAGCGUUGCUCGGAAUCACUGGGCGUAAAGCGUACGCAGGCGGCUCUGCAAGUCGGGUGUGAAAGCCCGGGGCUCAACCCCGGAACUGCGCCCGAGACUGCAGAGCUUGAAUGCGGGAGAGGGAAGCGGAAUUCCUGGUGUAGAGGUGAAAUUCGUAGAUAUCAGGAGGAACACCAGUGGCGAAAGCGGCUUCCUGGCCCGACAUUGACGCUCAUGUACGAAAGCGCGGGGAGCAAACAGG
rnacentral:rRNA from 1 species